AACACGGCCGGCGAAGAGUUGACACAACAGUAGCGUCACUCCAUCCUUUACACUCAGUCACACCCCCAUUUGAUUUGGGUAUGUGAGUAGGAAUGAAAUCACUUUGUUAUGUUCGAUUUGCAGAAUAGGAGCGGAAUCGAAUUCCAUCCAGAAUACUACUUCUAUCGGAAUUGUGAUUCUUGUACAAAAGGGUUGGAAUCAUUUCUCAUUCAAUAGAAUCAACCCAUUUCCCAUAAAAUGUCCUUGGGUCUUCAUACCCUGCUUCGCCAUCAAAGCUACGUGCCCAUUACUUCUUGUUCUCGUUAUCUGGCUGAAAGCAAAAUCCUCUCAAAACCCACUUCCUGCAACCAAGAAGUCACCGCUUGGCUUGGGCAUUGGCCUUUCUAGCAGGCAUCUUCGGUGGUUUGGUUUCUUUUCCUUCUGGAGUCCGGCGCCCGUCCGGGCUUCCUAUGCCGACAUUAUCAAUGCUUCAUUCUUAAAUCUGGAGGGUAAUGCUGCUUUGGUAGGGUGUAAACAACUGAUGCAGAAUGCAAUGGAUUUUACCUCCCACAAGGGCAGGAAAUGCCUUUUAAUGGCCAAGUCAACCAUGCUUGUUUGGAGCUGGGACUGCAAUUCUUGGCUGGAUUGACCAUUGAUAUCAGUGUUUUGCUCAAAAGAAAAAGCAAUUUACAUAUCUGUUGGUUAGUUUUCACAUAAUUGCCUUGUAACCGUAUAUUUCUUUUGGGGCUAUUGGUUGCAUCUUGAAGCUGUUAUAGCCAGAUGUAAUUAUACAUGCCUUUUUUGCAAUCUACCAUACGAGAAUAUCCACAUUGGAUGCCCCACAUGAAGGGAAGUGUAAAUAUCAGAUAUUAGUAACAGCCCUGGUAUUGUGCGGACUUUGAUUUGACCAGAUGAAUGAGCUGGAAUCUUUCAUUCUAUGAUAUUUUCUCCAUAUAAUUUCCUUGAAAAUGAUUUCUGGUUAAAGAGUAUGUGGUUUUAGGUGCAUUGAAUCAUCUUCUUCUGUUUUUUUUUUCCCCUCUCUUUGCUGGGGAUGUAAUGGAUCACCUCAGCAUUAGGUAUAACUGUAAAUAUGAUUUAAAAGUGCCACAUUGUUGAGUACAUAUUAUGUAAUGAAUCAAUAGUCAUUUGCUUAUUUAUUAUUGCCCCUUUAUUGAGUUAA